GAUUUGUCCAUAGGGGUUUUGCCUUUGGCUGAGAAAUUGGGAUUUGCCUAAUGCAAUUCAGUGGGUUGCAUAGUUGAAUGGGAUUCAAACCCUGGUCUCCCAGAGUUGCAAUCCAAUACU